rnacentral:lncRNA from 1 species
CUUGCCAACCUCCAGCCUUGCUGGUCUGCAGACAUAAGGGCAAUGACAGCUCACACAUGUAGAAGUGAUGAUCUUGCCUAGACUGCUUUUCCACUGCUGUGCUGCUGUCUGACACCUUAGGACAAAUCCAUUUUGCUAAGUUGUUCCCUGUGGUUCUGCUACCCUGCAGAAACAGAGCUGUAAGACCUUCAACUGUCCUGUGGCCUGAGGUGAUAGCCUGACAUUCUUCUCCUGCUUUGGCUCAGGGUGGACCAGGGCUUCGGUCAGAGGGCUUUCCUUAAGUUCAGAGCAACUAGAGGAGCAGGAAGCCAUUGACUCUCCUGGACAAAACUUUGGCACCUCUGUGCUAUAGCCACUGGAGCACAUGAUACUCACAGGUGGCCAACAGGUAUCUGUGUGUUUUCUUCUACUUCAAACACAACUCACCGUCCCAGGGAUAGAGAUGGGUGUAUGGUUCCAAGCCUGCUAAAUUGGGUAGUUUAAACAACAAACAUUUAUUUACCACAAUUUGGAAGGCUGAGAAGUCCAAGAUCAAGGUGCUUGGCUGGUUUGGUGCCUGGUGAGGGUCACUUCCUGGUUCAAAGAUGGUAAAUCUUUCCACCAAUUCCUCACAUAAUUUUUUUUUUCCAAUACUGGAGGUUGAAUCCAGGGUGCUUUAUCACUGAGAUAUAUCUCCAGUCCUUUUUAUUUUGAGGCAGGGUGUCACAAAAUUGUUUAGGCUGACCUCAAAUUUGUGAUUCUCCUGUCUCAGCUUCCUCAGUCUCUGGGAUUACAGGUGUAUACCACCACCCACCUUUCUCCUCACAUGAGAGAAAGCAAGCUCUCUUGAGACUCUUCUAAGGACACUAAUUCCAGGACCUCAGCUAAUCCUUAUUACCUCCCAAAGGCUCUAAUAUCACUGUAGGGGGAAUGUUUCAACAUAUGAAUUAGAGUGGGACAGAAUUAUUCAGUUCAUAACAAAAGACAAGUCUGGUGAGUAAUCCUCUCUCUUGCACCCACAAUGACCCAGUUCAGGUAGGUUUCCUUCAUCUGGCUACAAAGACAGUCCCCAAAGAGUAGCUGGGAAAGACUGAGCUGAAACCUACCUCUGAAGAAGGAGGGGGUUCAGCUAUGGGGGACCACUUAGAAGUGAACAGAUCUCACUUAGUAUAAGUUCUGUUUUUAUUGUUUUGCUGUACUGGGGGUUGAACCCAGGAUGCUCUAACACUGAGCCUUUAUUUUGAGAUAGGGUCUCACUAAGUGAGGGAGGGAUUAUCAGGGAAAGCUUUGGGGGAGGGGCUAUAUAGGCCUGGGCCAGUGAAAUCAAUGGGGAGAAAAAAUGGUGUCAUGUCAGUGGGGGCGUGGUCCUCAUCUUGUUUGCACUGGCCUCCAGUCCUUGGGGUCCUAUUGUUGACCUCCCCACAUUAGGUUCAGCAGCUCAAGUAAUUCUGGGCCUAUCCUGGCAUUAACACCUGGUACUGUCUCACUGAGCACUCCCUCAGUCUGACAGAAAGCAAGAACUUGUGGGGAGCUUCGAGGUUCAUAGAACUUGACAUUCACACAAGUCUACCGGCUGAUGCCACUUAAACAACCAGUUCUUGAUUUCCAUGGUACCUUUCUUACUGAAGAAAAUUGAACCACCAAAGCAACCACAGUCAUUAUAGAAAAUUAAUGUAAGGGGAAGACAAAACUGAUUCCAGAUGCCUGUUAAAGUUGGAGGAGAUGAUUUCUUGAUCUUUUUGUACAUGAGAAGAAAGGUUCAUGAGAAAGGCCUCAUACUCUGCAUAAGGAAAUGUGGAACAUGAAAAAUUUGGUAGUUUAGUGGCAGGUGAGGAUCUAGAGGAUAUAAAGUAGGGCCAGGGUGCAGAAGUGAGGAUCUUCUCACUGUGAUGAGAUGGCCCGGUGAGACGCAGGAUUGAGAAGAUUGUUCAGUGAGACCCUUCCAGAAGUCUCAGGAUCAGCCAGAACACAUAGAAUUUUUCUGCAGAUUUUACAUUGUCUAGUGUACCACAUGGAGCUCUGGCCUCCUCAGCAGCAUCUUAGUAUAAGGUACUCAUUGGGAGAAAUCAAGGAAAAGAGGUUUCUUCUACUUGUGUUAACUGAGGUCAGAGAGAAGGGAACAGCUGCGGAGAACUGGAUGCCAGGGAAUUACUGGGGAUUGAGCUCAGGGGCAGUUUACUACUUAACUACUCAUCUAAACUACUCAUUCAUCCCUUUUUAUUUUUUAUUUUGAGACAAGGUCUCACUAAGUUAACCAGGCUGGACUCACAUUUACAGUCCUCCUGCCUCAGCCUCCUGGGUUGCUAGGAUUACAAGCGUGAGCCACUGCACAAACAGCAUCAGCUGUUUUUAUUUAAAUGUUAGAUGAAGGAAGAUCUUUCAAGGCUAGGAGAUUUGGGGGAACAGGGAUAGCAGAUAAAUAAACUACAAAUAUACACAAAUGGAAGAAAAUAAAAAUCCCUCCAUGCCCACCUAGAGGGACAAAUAACUCCAAUCAUUUCAGUGCAUAUCCUUCAGAUUUUUUUCUUUCAUACAUACUUCUAUAUCUAAAGCAGUAUUUAGGGCUGGGGUUGUGGUUCAGUGGUAGAUCCCUUGCCUAGCAUGAGCAAGGCCCUCGGUUCAAUCCUCAGUAUAGCAAAAACAAAUAAUAAAGUGGGAUUUAAAGUACACAUCAUUUUGUAGUCUGCUUUUUAUACUUUAUAUGAUAUUAUGAGCAUCCUUCUCAAUUAUUCAUGUUUGGCAUCAUUUCUAAGGGUUGCAUAACAUUUUGUGUGGAGAUACCAUAAUUGAUGAGAGAGAGGCAAAAAAAUUAAUUUAAAAAUCAGA